rnacentral:rRNA from 1 species
ACACGUAGGGGCCUGACGUUGUUCGGAAUCAUUGGGCGUAAAGGGCGCGCAGGCGGCCGUCCAAGUCCGGUGUUAAAUGGUCGGGCUCAACCCGAUCAUGCGCUGGAAACUGGGCGGCUGGAGUCCCGGAGGGGAUGCCGGAAUUCCGGGUGUAGGGGUGAAAUCUGUAGAUAUCUGGAAGAACACCGAUGGCGAAGGCAGGCAUCUGGCCGGAGACUGACGCUGAGGCGCGAAGGCGCGGGGAGCGAACAGGUUUAGAUACCCUGGUAGUCCGCGCAGUAAACGAUGCGCACCAGGUGUCGGGCGGCAGCGCCCGGUACCGGAGCAAACGCGAUGAGUGCGCCGCCUGGGGAGUAUGCUCGCAAGGGUGAAACUCAAAGGAAUUGGCGGGG